rnacentral:lncRNA from 1 species
UGAAAAUGAUUGAAUACAACUUCUGUGGUGAGAAAAACAACUUAAAGAGUAUGAAAACUGGCUAAAGUUGAACUUCAGGCCACGAGAGACUCUCAAAAGCUGAAGCCGUGAAAGGGGGUUGCAGGGAGCACUCAGAGGUCAUGUUUCUACCUCCACAAAGUACAGAAACAUACAGUUGUUCUUGGAAUGUGUUUUUGUGUUCCUCCCAGGUGUAGCUGAUAAGACUCUAAUGUCUUCCAUAGCUCUCCAACAAAUAGCAUGACCAAGUCAGUCACAGCAGUACCUCAUGCCUGGUCACGACUUCUGUCCUAGUCAGCCUUCUAUUGCUGUGAAGAAACACCAUAACCAGUGGAAAUAAAAGAAAGCUUUUACUUGGGUGGCUUGCUUUCAUAUUAGAGGGAGAAUAGUCUCCAUGUCGAAGGGGACAUCCUGACUUUCUAGGAUCACCAGGAUUACCAUCUCCACAAGAGACACCUUCUUACAACCGGAGAGAAAUAAACUUGUUCAGAAUUUAAGAGCCAGUGGAAUGCCUUUGGGCUUGGGCUCACUGUUUACUUAAAUCAAAUCAUUUUCUUCUUCUGGAUGUCUUAAAUCCCAAUGAUCACCAUAGGACACAUUAGGAAGACCAUGAAAAUUCUGGAAGGUUCCAUAGG